ensembl:misc_RNA 7SK 7SK RNA
GGAUGUUAGGGCAAUCUGGAUGUAACAUCUGUCACCCCACUGAUCUCCCGGGUAGAUCUGGCUGAGCUUUCUCCCUCAGUGCUUCAUGUGUGUUCCUCCCAAAGCCACAUACUCAGUAGAAGAGGAUCACCUUCUCUGAAUAGAGUUGGACUGGUCUUCAGUAUGUAUAUGAGUAACUAUGCUCCCUGUUAGAACCUACAAACCAAUUCUCAACUGAGGCAAGGUAGGGGGAGGUGGUGGUGGAGAGAUGCAGGCAAAUUCAACUGAGGGCCCACAGAGGAACUUUAAUU